AUGAAAUCAUGUUUAGAUAGACCAAUGGUAUAUAAUUAUCUGCAUUAGGGAGACCGCAGGAUUAGGGGGAAAAAAUCUGGUCUCCCUAAUAUUUUAGCAUCGUGCAGGUGCCAACUCACUGUACUUUCAAGGAUAAAUCUUAUGUAGUAGUAUCUUUAGAUUGUACUUUCAUAGAAUGCGUUAUCAGGAGUAGGCGCUUUCAGGUUUUAAGGACAGAAAAUAAAUUUUAAUUAUAGACUUUGUAUAUUGAAAAAUAAAGUAAACCUGCCUUAGGGAGACCAUCAAAAAUCGUUGUGAAAAAUCAAAAAUCGACUAUAUAUUUUAUUUUCGGUUUUUGAACAUUGUUUCUAUGACUAAUAGGCACAUAUCUGGACACUUGCUUUAUUUAAAAUUUUAUUAUUUAAAAACUUUAAAUUUUGUUGUUCGAUGAGAUUUUCAUUUUCACGAUUCCGAAAUUAACGCUCGGGCUCGGAGUUUUGUGUUCCGUAUCCAGUCACAUUGAGCGGAAAAUGGCGAAUUUAUCUUACGGGAAGCGCAUGAAAGUAAAACGCCUGAAGCCUGAGGAAGAUGCCAAAUGGUGGUGUCAGGCUGGUCUUGACAAAGAUGGGUUCAAAGUAAAAUAUAUAUCUGACUAUAAAGGAUUUGGUGUAUUUGCCGAAAAAGACUUCAGAGCAGGGGAUUUUCUUCUAGAAUAUGUUGGAGAAAUAAUUACUGAAGAAGAGGCAUUUGAAAGGCAGAGAAAAUGUGAUGAAAAUAAUUUUUUUUUUUACAAGAACAAAGGAAAAAGUAUGUGUAUUGAUGCUUCAACUCAAGAUCAUAUAUGCCAGUAUGUCAAUGAUGGGAACAAGAUGGCUAAUGCUGUCAUGAAACUUUUGACUUUUGAGAGGCCUUGUCUAUGCUUGUUUGCUGUCAGAGAUAUUCAAGAGAAAGAAGAAAUACUGUAUAACUAUGGAGAUACUCAGAAUCUCUGGUGGAGAAAUAAGUGGAACAUACAUGUAAUGGAAACACAGAAAAUGAUGAAAAUGGACAGGGUGACUAUGAGGGAAGCAGUAGCUGCAGCAACCAAAGGAACAAGUCAGGUAAAGCUGUUAAUCAAUUAUGUCUCCCCCAGCAAAAGGAGUACAACAAUAUACCAUGGUGUUAUAAAUUGUGAUACAGAAGUUUCGGUUUGAUUCAUGAUACAUGUAUGUUAAUCCACCCAAAUGAUAUGGCUCCAUUUCAUUUUUAACUCACUAUAGCUGAAAGCUCAUGUGAGGUUUUUUGAUUAGUUUGUCUGUCAUCCGUCAGUCUGUAAACUUUCCACAUUUUCAAUUUCUUCUCCAGGCCAAUUUCAACCAAACUUGGCAAAACGUAUCAUUGCGCGAUGGGGAUUCAAGUGUGUUCAAAUGGUGCCCCUAGUCACAGGGUUCUGUGCUUAUGGCCCCAAAUGGUUAAAAAGGUACCAUUCUUAAAAAAUCAUCUUGUCAUAAAGCACUGGAGAGAAUUAUUUGAUAUUAUGCACGGGGCAUAUAAGCGACCAUGAGAUUCAAGUAUAUUGUUACUGGUUCUAUCCUCCACCAAUAAAAACUGGACACCAUUGUAUGAUGGAAAAUUGUUGAGUGUGGCAAAAAAAACAAACAAACAAAAUCAGGGAAUGAAAAAAGGUGUCAUCAAUGUAGUUAAGACAGUAAAAGAUGUCUCUUGCAGAUGUGAAUAUGGCAUUUUUCCAUAAAAUAAAGCAUCCCACAUGACUAUGCUAUCUUCACUUGAGGGCACAAAAAGCAACAUGAUCAUCCUUGCACUUCCAAACUUGGAUUUUAACAUUUUUUUGCAUGAGAAGCAAAAAAAAUUAACAGUAAAGAAUUUAAGAAUAUGUGAGGUAACCAUAAAUGCAUCAACAACUAGUGCAGAUGUUGCAAAUUGAAUUAAUUUUGGUAGAUUUGGCCGUUGUGGUACUUAGGUUUAAGUAUAUCGGGGCACCUAUUAAUACUAGCUAGUGGGUUCAAACUUUUUUUUUUGGUAGGGCACUGGCUUUUAAAUCUGAAGGUUGUAUUUGAGACUUAGUGAUACUUCCUAACAAUUACACUUCAUUUCUUUCACAGUAAAGUGGUAAUUGGAGGACGCACAGCUUUUGCAGGAGCAAUUUUAGGAUUUAGCAUAAAUUCAUUCAUGCUUCGCUCAAAUUUUUGCUAGGAAGAAGUUUUGCUUUUGUAGCAUGAUACAAAAAUGAUGAUCAAAUAGAUUUUGAGUGUAUUUUACAACUAAUUUAAUCUCCUUAUGAUGUUGAAUGUUUGGCCGGGUUGCAGAACCUGCAUUCAGCUUUGAAGUAUGGUGAAUGCCAGGUGAUCAGCUGGCUGAGCGGACCACUUGUGCAUGCAAUGUACUUUGUGUAAUCAAAUCAUCUCACACCUCUAACUUGACAUCCUUCAAACUUUGUACAAUUGUAUGGAGACAUUAAAGAUGUAUUUUUGACUUUUUGGAAGCGCUCUGACAUUUUUCCAAAAUUUACAUUUAGUUGAACUUUGUCACUUUCACAACUUGUUUUGAAAUAGACAGUACCUACUUUGUAAAAUUGACUCCUCUCAUAGCGUUUACUUUACAUUGUUCAGACCUUGCUUGUACAGUUGUAAUGAACACAUUGAAGAUAUGUAUGUGAUUUUUAGGAAGUGUUCAGACAUUUUUUGGAAAAGUUUACAUGUAGUUGAACUUUGUAUUUUUCUCAGUAUGUUAUUAACUCCUCUCACAGCUUUUAUUUGAUAUUCUUCAGACCAUGUACAGUUGUAAUGGACACGAAGAAAAUCUGCAUGUGGCACUUUAGAAGUGUGCUACAUGUUCAUAUCUUUGUAAUUUUCCCAGCAUGAUAUCUAAAGGCAUGGCCUAAAAUAUUUCAUUUUAUGUCAGUGAAUAAUGUAUUAAAUCAACCAUGCCAUUUUGGCCAAUUUUAGUAUUUCUUGAAACCAACCCUAACCUUAACGUCUAUACCUGUAGUCUGUAAUGCAUAUUUAAAUAUAUUUCAGGUUCUGUUCAGGAGUCCCUAAAUGGUAUUCAAUGUUCUGCAAUGCUUCCAGAGGAAACUUGUUAUGUUAAUGAAGAAGAUACUAACGGUGAUGAUGAACAGGUGGAAUCAGUUCAAAAGAAUGUUCCUAGGACAUCUAGAAAAUGCUCAGGCAAGAAUUAAGUUUCAUAUUAUAUUUGCUCUACUGUUCUUAAACAAUUGGAUUAUGCAAUUUAAUCAACUUUUGCUUAUAAACCGAAGCCAUUGAGGUGUCAUUCCAUGUUCUGUCAUCUUUUAACUGUCCAUUCAUCCAGAACUGUAUUACUUUUGUUACUGCUUCUCAAAGGGCAAGGUCUCUGGCUUGAGUACAACUGCAGUUAACAUUUUUAUACGCCCGUCUUAAGACGGGACGUAUUUGGUAUGGCGUUCAUGUCCGUCCGUCUGUUAGCUUUUUCGUGUCCGACCCGUAACUUAAAUACUACAAGGCCUAGAAUCAUCAAACUUCGUCUGUAGAUACAUCUUGGGUAGAAGGUGUGUCGCACAUUAAAACCAGGUCACUGUGACUUUUCAUUAAGAAGAUAUGGCCAUAUAUGGCAAAAACUUG